rnacentral:rRNA from 1 species
GCGGAGGGAUCAUUACAGAGUUGCAAAACUCCCACAAACCAUCGCGAAUCUUACCCGUACGGUUGCCUCGGCGCUGGCGGUCCGGAAGGCCCUCGGGCCCCCCGGAUCCUCGGGUCUCCCGCUCGCGGGAGGCUGCCCGCCGGAGUGCCGAAACCAAACUCUUGAUAUUUCAUGUCUCUCUGAGUAAACUUUUAAAUAAGUCAAAACUUUCAACAACGGAUCUCUUGGUUCUGGCAUCGAUGAAGAACGCAGCGAAAUGCGAUAAGUAAUGUGAAUUGCAGAAUUCAGUGAAUCAUCGAAUCUUUGAACGCACAUUGCGCCCGCCAGUAUUCUGGCGGGCAUGCCUGUUCGAGCGUCAUUUCAACCAUCAAGCUCUGCUUGCGUUGGGGAUCCGCGGCUGCCCGCGGUCCCUCAAAAACAGUGGCGGGCUCGCUAGUCACACCGAGCGUAGUAACUCUACAUCGCUAUGGUCGUGCGGCGGGUUCUUGCCGUAAAACCCCCCAAUUUUUAAGGUUGACCUCGAAUCAGGUAGGAAUACCCGCUGAACUUAAGCAUAUCAAUAGUCGGAGGA